UUCCGACCUGAGUUCGAUUCCCGGGCAUGCUUUUUCUGCUUGGGAGGUGAUAGCUGUGACUACAGGUAUCUACACAGUUACGUUCAUCACUCUGAUUUUGAGGGGGGGUAAUUGUCAUUCAUGUGCAAGCAAACAAGGGCAACUGCAGUUUUUGGAUUUUGUGUCAAAUUACCUCUUGCUGCAUAUAUUCUGUAUGGAGUCUCCUAUACAGGGUUUGGUGUAUUUAACUUCUGAUGGGCAUGUUUGUCUGUCUACAGGGCCCACCCAGCAACCUGCAGCUGCUGUGGACAACACCACAUGCUUUCCCCACCACACAUCAGCACGCAGAGUCAGUGGAGGGUUAAAGCAGUAGUAAGGUGUGUGGCAUAAAACUGCAUUCUAAGUUCCACAUCACAGUCAUUGCAGUUCUUGAUGGUCUGACAAAGGUGCUAUUGUAUGCCCCUGCCUGAUCUUUGCUGCAUACAGGCUCACAAGCUGCUUGUGGAGGACUGUUGCUGCAGCAAUGUCUUGUAGUGUUAACUAACAGCGAUAGAGGACGUCCUAUUAGUCCACUAAUACUAGGCAUGACUACCAGAAGGUGUUAGGGUGGAUAGUGCAUGUGACCUAUGAUGUAGCAUGUUUUGAGGCAAAUUUUGUUGAGAUGGAUGAGCUGCAGCUGGGUGCACCCAAUAUGAAACUGUUUGGAGCUGUUUCGAAGCUUCUGCUGCAGCAGCUGCUGCAUACAGGCUCACAAGCCGCUUGUGGAGAAGCUACUGCUAGCAGCAGUGCUGCUGCACAGACUUGUCUUGGAGUGUUAACUGACGGUGAUGGAGGACUACUUCUAGGCAUGAAUACCAGAAAGUGUUAGGGUGGAUAGAGCGCUUCUGAGCUAUAAUGUAGCAUGUUUUGAGGCAAAUUGUUGACAGAUCCAUGAGCUGCAGCUGCAGCAGCCGCUGUUAUGGAAAUGUUUGGUGCUGUUUGGAAGCUGCAGAUUGUUUGGAAGCUGCUGCAGCUGCAGCUGCUUCAGCUGAAGCAGGCAUUGCAUAUGGCUUAAUGUUGUUACAUAGCAGGACUUGGGAAUUUCGUAUGCAUGUAGCUGCUGCUAGGCGACGUGUAUAUGUAAAAUUAUGAAUCCACGCAUACAUGGUCUAUCCCUACCCCUAUGGCAGCCAAACGACGUG
rnacentral:lncRNA from 1 species